UAUUUCUCAAAGCAGCUUCCAUCUCAAACCAACAACACUCACUUCGUUUUUCCCCCUUCCAUCUCGAACCAACGGCACCACCAUCUUCUCCUCUGGCGAAGUUAGGAAGUUGAAUUAACUUGGGAGGAUGAAUCGAAAAUUUGGAGGUGGAAAGCAACCAACUGGGACUCCUUCACUGCCCUGGUCAUGUGUGGUUGUUAUCUGUUCUCUUCUUGCUGGUGCUUCUGUUGUACACAAUAUCUAUAAACCUAACCUUACAUUGCCACCAAUUGACGGAGUUGAUGGAACCAAGAAGAAACUAGAGGCGAAAGAAUGAUCAUCUCCUAGUUAUGGAUUUUUCUUAAUAUCUUGAAGAUGGGCAUGUCAUAGAGGCAGAGAUUGUUCUUCCCCAACAGUUAAUUUUUUUUUUAUAUUUGGCUUAGAUAUUAGGACCAUAUUUGGAUAUGUAAUUUAGUUAAACACUUUUAGUAUAAAUGUUUUUGUAUAAACUAUCGUUGUAUCCAAAGACAUAAUAAAGUCAAAUUAUUUUCAUAUAAUCUAAUCCCGACGAGCUUAUAGAA